rnacentral:rRNA from 1 species
GGAGUCACGCCAGAAAUCUUACCCGGAGAGACAGCAGAAUGAAGGUCAAGCUGAAGACUUUACCAGACAAGCUGAGAGGUGGUGCAUGGCCGUCGCCAGCUCGUGCCGUGAGAUGUCCUGUUAAGUCAGGUAACGAGCGAGAUCCCUGCCUCUAGUUGCCACCAUUACUCUCAGGAGUAGUGGGGCGAAUUAGCGGGACCGCCGCAGUUAAUGCGGAGGAAGGAAGGGGCCACGGCAGGUCAGUAUGCCCCGAAACUCUGGGGUCACACGCGGGCUGCAAUGGUAGCGACAAUUGGUUUCGAAUCCGAAAGGAUGAGGUAAUCCACAAACGCUACCACAGUUAUGACUGAGGGCUGCAACUCGCCCUCACGAAUAUGGAAUCCCUAGUAACUGCGUGUCAUUAUCGCGCGGUGAAUACGUCCCUGCUCCUUGCACACACCGCCCGUCGUUUCAUUGAAGUGAGCUUUUAGCGAGGUGACGUCUGAUUGGCGUUAUCGAACUUGAGGUUCGUGACAAGGGAAAAGUCGUAACAAGGUGACCGUAGGGGAACCUGCGGUCGGAUCA